rnacentral:misc_RNA from 1 species
AAGUCGUAACAAGGUUUCCGUAGGUGAACCUGCGGAAGGAUCAUUACUGAGUUAAAAAAGGGAGCUUGGUUGGUUUCAAUGCCAUCCUGUCUCUCUUUUUUUCUUAUCUACCCUUAUGUUAUUUUUUCUCAGUUGCUUUGGUAAGAGCUUUGGCUUUUACCAAUAGAAACUUCUAAACUAUUUGUUAUCCAACAAUUGGUUGUCUUUUGUCUGAUUUAUUACUUUUAUAAUAGUAUAAAAAAACUUUCAACAACGGAUCUCUUGGUUCUG